rnacentral:rRNA from 1 species
AGUGAAUAGAUACCCUGGUAGUCCUAGCCCUAAACGGUGCACGUUUGCUGUAAGAGGAAUCGACCCCUCUUGUGGCGAAAGCUAAACGCGUUAAACGUGCCGCCUGGGGAGCACGGUCGCAAGAUUAAAACUCAAAGAAAUUGACGGGGGCCGUGCACAAGCGGUGGAGUAUGUGGCUUAAUUCGAUGCAACGCGAAGAACCUUACCUGGCCUUGACAUGCAUUUGGUAGAACCAUGAAAGUGGGACGACCCCGCAAGGGGAGGAUGCACAGGUGCUGCAUGGCUGUCGUCAGCUCGUGUCGUGAGAUGUUGGGUUAAAGUUCCCGCAACGAGCGCAACCCCUUGUGUCCUGUUGCCACCCCCACGAGAGUGGGUAGGCACUCUGGACAGACUG